CUCAUCAGUCACUGAAUCUGUCAGCCUUGAUCCUGGACGUCUGGGGCUGUGAAACCUCACUUCUGCCGCUUCUGCUGCUUCCAAACCAUCUAAUCUGUGGUUUUUGUGAGAACAGCACAAACGGGAUAAAGCUCCCCAUCAUGGAACAGCCAUUGCUCCAAGCUCCACAAAACCACUCGAAAACUCUUUAAAACGCACCGCCUCCUCCACUGGUGAAUUAUAUUUGAACUUCACAACACAUUUUCUUUUUGAUUAGAAACAUGGAUUUUUGAAACAAACUUAAUUAAAGAGCUGAAUAAUCUGAUCACAACCCCCGGGAAGAAAGAAGGGAAACACGUUUAGGAAGAUUGUUUUGAACAAGAGGACUUGGCUCUCCUUAGGCAUAUUUCCUUUCACUUCACCACAAAAAGUUUCAGCUAUUUCAGGCCCUGGUGAAUCCAGUACUAAAUGGUCCAGCUCAGGAGGGAGCUGAGAGAGAGAGCUGAAUGAUGAAUAAGUGUGAAGAAAUAUGUUUAUUUCCAGAAUCAAUUUGCUUUGUCUUCAGAGCACCAGCUAAGCAUAAAAUGGAGAAUACUUCUGUCAAAUCUGCAAAGGAGACCACUCUAUCACGUUGGCAACUUUCUUUCUUCCCAUCAAGUUUGUAUCAUAAAAGCCAAGUAAAUUGUGUUGAUGUUCUCUGUUAUGACAUGCACUGACAUGAUGGAUAGGAAGCAACCCUCAUGUUGCAUAAGAGCAAAGAAAAUAAUAGCCCCUCACAGCCAAUGGAGAGUAUCAGGUGAUGGGAUCUCUCUGCAUCUCUGUAGGGGCCCAGAAACAUUUGUGUUCUUGUUUCUUCCCAAGCUAGGAAGAAAAAUGAUGAAGUCACAUUUUUAUAAGAUAGGAUGUAGAGAGGGAGUAGGUUCAUGCUUUUUACUAUAUUGUUGUUAAAGGAUAAUUUUCAUGAAAGGUAAUAUGAAGAUUCUCAAGAUAUAAGUUGAACAUAUGUUUAAGAUUUUAUGUAAUUCAUUAAAGAAAUAAGGGGACUAGCAGAUGUCCAACCUGGUCAAAGAAGAAUCCACAAGGACAGGCACAUGUGUGGAUCGAGUCUGCUGAAAUGAAGGGGCAAGUGAAAGGCCAAGCUGACUCCUUCCGCGGUGGGAGAGGGAAGUCAGCUGAGACCUGGCAGACUGAAUUUACAGUCUACAGACACGAAUACUGUGUAUUUUUCUUGGUGUCUACAACUAACAGGGCUAGUUGGAAGAUAACCCCCAAAGGGUCAGGAUCAGUUAACUCUGAGCUCUUGACUCUGGGUUGGAAAACUAUAGCCACAGCCAAGUCACCUGUGUUUGUAAAUACAAUGUUAUUGGAGCACAACCAUUUGUUAAUAUAUUGCUAAUCAUGCUAAGUGGCAAAGUUCAAUAGAUGGAACCUUAUGAAUGGUAAAUCUAAAUUAUUUACUAUUGGGUCCUUUAAGGAAAUGUUUCCUGGCCUUUGGUAAAGAUAAAAAUGGGCUUCUACUGAAUCACGAAUCUUCUCCUAUAUUCUAUAUCGGUGAAAAGAGAAUUUGGGAACUAGAUAAAUCUGGAUCUGAAUCUUAACUCUGUUACUUAAUAAAUGUAUCAUUAAAGCAAGUUACAUAAACUUCCACAUAUUCAGUUAUUAAACAGUAUAAAAACAUUAUUUCUAAUUAAAUAAGUAUGAUGAGUCUAUUGUAUGA
ensembl:lncRNA